rnacentral:rRNA from 1 species
AUGGUCUGUGAUCAUGCUCGGGGCUUUUGGGAAGCAGCUGAGCGAUUCUUGGGUAUUACAAUACCGCAACUCAACCCGCUGACAUGGUGGCGUGACCUUUUAGAUCAUCGGCUUUUCCGUAAGGAUGAGGCUGCUAUAAUGAUCACGGUAAUGUGGGCUGUCUGGCACUCAAGGAACAACUACACACAUGGUGAAAGAGAAUACCGACCACGGCAAUCCAUGAUUACCAUUGAAGAAAUUGUCCGAGCCCUGGAAAUACCAAGGAAGGACGAAGCUCCGGUUAUGGUUAGUCCGAAAUGGCAACCUCCAGAAAUAGGGUGGGUUAAAUUCAACACGGAUGGAGCAACGAACUUUGAGCGAGGCAGAGGUGGAGCAGGGUUUAUCGCCUGUGAUCAUCAUGGCUCGUUUGUGAGAGCGGGCUGCACACGGUAUGAGGGUAUCACCGACCCUCUGUCCAUUGAACUCCUCGCGUGCAGAGACGCGCUAUCUUUGGCGCAUGGGAUGGGACUCCAGCAUGUGGUGAUCGAGACAGACUGUCAGGAGAUACAGCGUCUUUGGGAGAUACCACAGAAGUCUGCCGGAUUCCACCUUAUAAGAGAGAUGAAGGACAUGAGUGUUCUGUUCCAGGGAUUUAAGCUACGGUUUUCCAGUCGCCAUACAAACUUGGUGGCUCACCGCUUAGCUAGGCUUGCUUUACAUCAUUCUGUUACUCAACAAUUGUAUGAAACAAUCCCUGGCUGGCUGAUUGGUUUUCUACGUGGCCGAGUAUGUACCGGCCAAGUUUCAGUUUCGCUCCAAAGAGAACUGCCCACUCCUCUGGAGCUCUCCCUCUUCACUGGUUCUGCUGUCCAGAUCCAGCCCUAUCUCUGCUGGUUCCUGGACUGGUUCAUCUGCUCCUGGAUCCUCGCUUUGCAAAGAUAUCUCAGACAGCAUGCUCAGCAGCCACUUCAGCUCAAGCCGCUGAGGAUUAUGAUCCAUCAAAGGAUCCUGCGAGGAAGCCAACUAGGACCAAGGAUCCAACAUGGAAGUAUGCCUUUUGGCCUGAUCUGCAGGACAAAUUGUCAAUCCACUGAUCUAUUGCCAAGAAAAGUGCACACGCAUACACAUGAGAAAUCAAGAGAUGAGGCGGACACAGACCUGAGCAAGGCGGAUGGGGGCGGACGCAGACUUGUGCAAGGCGGAUGUAAGCUUUCCCUGUCAAAUCUGAUGCGCCUUCAGCUAAUCGUGGAGGGCAACUUGGGCCAACUCGCUCGAUUUAUCUCUGCAGCUUCGGAGGAUUUUGUUGGGAUGAGGAAAAAUCAGAGGGGAAAGUGGAGGAGGAGGUCGGAGUGGAGAACGGCGAGCCGAAUCGGCUCUCCCCGCGGAGCGAGGAUUUUCUGGCCGAGCGAGGCUAGUUGCCCCCAAAAGCUAGGAUAUAUUUGCGCUACCAAACGGCAUUCGUCACUGGGAAAAUUGUGGUGUCUCCUACGUCUACCUCUGUCCGCCAUGGCCCCAAUAAUUGGUAUUAGAGCCUUCUUGAUCCGCGGUGAGUCCUCGUCGGAGGCCGCGGCGGGGCGGCGUAGUGAGAAGACUACGGAGGUACUGCGUGGUGGCACGAAGGCUGCGGCGAGGCGUGGCGGCGAGGCGCGCCGUGGUGUAUCGUGCACACAACGCCGCGGCGUCAGGCGUUCGAGCGCGAUGGCGUGUGUCGUCGUCGGUGAAGGGACUCGGCGUGUCGCCAAAGAAGUCGAGUCUAUGGCGGUGCCGACCGACGUCAGCGCGCCAGGUCGAGUCCGCGGUCGUGGCGACAACGACGAUGGGAGCAGCAGCAUCAACUCCGGCGACAUCGAGCAAGCGACACGUCAUAGCGAUGGGCGGAGCUGUUCAAGACGAUGUCGACGACUAGUCGGCCCUGCUGCAGGUCGAGUCGGUGACGGACGUGUGCAAAGUGUACGUAUGUGCGUGCUUCUGUGUUGCGUGUACGUGUGCCGGCCAAUCCUACCACUUUUGUUUGGUUUUUUUCGUCGUCACUGCCCCCGCCCCAUCCCACUCACGCAGCCAAAAAAAUCACCCCCACGCACGAACCACUCCCCUCCCUCUCCUCGCGCGAGCAUCCUCUCCUCGCCCAGCGUCCUGCUGCUCCGCGCCUCGCUUCCCUCGUCGCUCGCCUUCGGACUCCUCGCUUCCCUCAGGCGAUCCAGCGCUUGUCCGCAAGCCAAGCCGCCACCUCUCCGCCGAGAAAGAGGGAUCCCGAUCUCCGCCGUGGUCGACCAACAGCACGACGGGCGGAGCACCCAACCCGUAGGCUCAUCCCCUUCUCCGAUCCACUCCGGCGGCGGCCAUCGUUGGUACAAAGACAAGGUACACUCCCUACUGGUUGCUGAUGUGCCUUACUGCUGUCCGCCGCCGACGCCGCUGGAUGGUGCUGCUGCACUUGGCUCAUCAAGUCCAGUCCCAUGCCUCGUUGCUGAGAGAUGCCUUGAGACGCCGCCGGCCCGCCGCCGUCGCAUUAUAAGAGACGGGAACGGGAGGAUACAAAGGGGAUACGAAGGCGGCGCGAGUGCCGGCCUUUCUGGUCGGUUGGGUGGCCGAUUGAUGAAGGUUGCCCUUGCUUCGGUCCUUUCUAAUCGGCAAACGCACUCAGCGUGGAGCGGAGCGUCGGCCUGUGCAGCACAAAGGCAAGGAGCCUUCGUACGCCAUAAGAACUUCAUCCAGCUCGCCUAUGAGUCCCAGUCCGGAAUUGGUAAACUCUCACAUAGAGGUAGAGCCAAUAUUUGUGUUUGCGGCAAGGAGCGGGAAAACACCUAUCAUCAGCUGAUUGCCAAUUCCCCCGACUUCUGCUGUCGAAGGUCAGUGAGGAAGUUUGGGUUCUCACUCUCCUUGUCCACACAGCCGAUGUGGAGGAAGCACACUGGAUUGCAAAAACUUUUGGGUGCAGACCUUGGUUGUUUAUUCGAUGUACUAAGGAGCCACCAUUGCAACCUUAACAAGUUAUUCUCUAGGACCAUAGGAGUUCAAGAUUACUUGUCCAGAGCUGUAGUAGAAAUGUAUUCAGAAUACAUGGGAGGGCAAAUGUAUGUCAUGGUCAUGUUUAGGGAGGAAAAAUGGGGCAAAUAUCCCAUUGACAUGCAAGAUGCAACUACAAGGAUAAACUGGUUUUUGAACUUCCCUUUCUUGGUCAUGUGA